AAUGAGCUGGGCAGCCACAGGUCUUUUUUUUGAAUCUUAAUUCUAAUAUCACUAAUACUCAAGUCAUGCAUCACAUUUCACACAUCAAUAUAUAGAUCCAAGAAAGGGUUAGUAAUGGCUCAGGAAGCAGAAGAGGAAGAACUGGAAGCCAAGGCAGAGUCUACAGAGAUGUGAGAAUUCACCCUAGGUGGCCAAAUAAGAUUACAGACAGGAAGAGCUGCUUCUAGGAGGUGCAGGGCUCCUCCUGCACAAAGUUGGUUCAAACCCUGAAUCCGGGUGGCCGACAGUUCGAGUGAACUUCUUCAAGCAGAGAGAAUAACUGAGCUGAAGCCACAGCUCUCAGCACUUUUUUUUUUAGAAAUCCAUCCUCUGACAAAGGCUUUACUGACAACUUUCCAUAGUUGGUCAAAAAAUUUUUUAAAAAUCCAGAAUACAGCAGACAGUAUCUCAUAGAGAAGUCAACAUAACAGGGGUUCUUGUUAUCGUCAUAAAAAAAAAAGUCCCCCAAAAUCUAAGAACUUAGAUUUAGUGGUGGACAGACUCUGAUCCUCCCACCAAAUGAACCAAAUUAAUCCAGCAGAUAAUUCAAACCAAGGGACCAGGUAGAGAAGGAAUCAGAUUUGCAAGUAACUGCUUUUGAGUUUGCGCUAGGCAGUGUCUCUUGCUAUAACUAUCACCAUGUGUUCCUCUUCCAGCUUGCCCAAUGUCCUCAGUGCUGACUGGAGGUACUGCUGGGAGAAGUCUCAGGGUGGGAAGGUGUAAAGCAUGCCUGUGAUGUCUCUGCCCUUGGACCCCCACCACCACCACUGGCAGGCUGAUUACCCCUGCAGCCUGCUUCUGUUUCAAGUAGGAGACCAGGUUCCUGAAAAGCUGCCUCUACAGUGUAUAGGACAAAGCUUAUCACCCUCUUUGCUGACUGACUUUAUGUUGCAUCUCCUGAUGAAACUCUCGACAUCUGAUCAAGAAACUGCAUCCAAAGCAGCAACUGUGCUGAAACUGACUCUGAAAUAUCAUGCCCAGAAGGUCACCAGGGUGUGUCAGAUGGUGGACACUAUUUAUAAGCAACUGAAAGAAAAUUCUUCUCACUUUAUGAAGGACAUCUUGUUGGAGGUUGUCACCUUGUUGGCACAAAUGUUGCCCAAAGGUGUCGUCUUUCAGCUCAUGUACUACCCAGUCCCAGCGGACAACGCUCUGAUGCUGAUGUGGCAGGCAGUGGGCUCUGAGCCACAAGUUGCCCCACAAGUGCUGAAGGAAAUCCUGUUGGUCUUGAAAGACAAACCUUGGGAAGUGGAGGACACCAUGCAGGAAGGGAGAUGCUUCAUUCUGGAUGUCACUAACAUGAUGCCUCUGGCGGCAUCCCAGGCCCUGUGCAUGCUUUUGCCUAUGGGUUCCUAUAAGAAGACAGUGGCCCAGUUUUUUCCCGAGAUCUUGAUGGCCCUCAUGUUUCAACUCCUUUACAUCAGUCAGCUGAGAGUGCAGCCACAGGACAGGCCUAUUUAUGCCCGGGAGGGGCUGAGAAUUCUGCUAAAUUGUUCUGGACUGCAAGAAGUGGAUACUGCUCUGAAACAGAAGUAUUGCUGGAGUCAUAUUUGCCAAACAUACUAUUACCAAGAUGGGGUCAACCUCAUUGCCAGAACUCUCUGUGAAUAUAACUUUCCACAGUUUCCAGAAACCUUAUAUUAUCUCCACAAGAUCUUAGUGCAAGGUCCUAGGAGGUCAGAAGAGCAUAUCAUCAUAGUAAUAUUCUUCAUCAAAAUUCUGGAUAAGUUCUUUAAGGACCCACUCCCAGAAUUAUUUUUGGUCCUCCUCAGAAACUGGAUCAAUGAUUCCAAUCCUGAAAUUAGCAAAUUAAGCCUUCAGAAAAUCACCAGCAUGGCCCCAGUUGUCCAUAAGAUAGAAAAUGUCCGCAGCUUAUUAACAUCCAUCCUAGAUGCCUUCGGGUCCAAAGAUGAGACUGUUGUAACUCAGGCCUUGCUCACCCUCCGAAGACUGGUAGACAAACUGGACAAGGUGAACUAUUCAUCACUGUGCACUGGAAUUGCUUCCAGCUACUUCCAUCUGAUGGAUCAUUGCUCUGGAAAUGUGCGGAGCUUGGCUAUCAGGCACUUGGCAGAAUUGAUCAAGGGUGUGAGCCAACACACAUCAACCUUAAAACAUGUCCUAGGAGGCUUCGCACCCUUCAUCCUCUGUUUGGAGGACAGGGACACUAGAGUAGUGAGUGCAUGUAAACAUACAUUAGCAAUCUGUGACUCGCAACUAGAAUGGUCAAUCUCAACUUUGUUUAAAGAAGAAAAUUACAAUUUUGAGCUGGUAGUUCUCAGCAUCUGUAACAAUCUUCUUCUUUCUCAUGAGAGUUGCAUUACAUACUUAACUUGUGACGCCUUAGGGUUCCUGGGAAGCUCCCAAGUGCAUCUGAGAAGAGCAGCAGUUAUUUUACUAGGGUACUUGGCAGAAUUGGGUGGACAUUUGCUAUUCAGAGAUGAAAUUGAAGUUUUGAUUGAAGCUACGGAACGAAUGCUCCAGGAUGAAGACUCUCAGGUCCAGGAGUUGGCAGAAAUAACCCACGAUCUUUUAAAGAAAAUAGCCCAUAGACCAAGAUCCACAACUAUUAAACACGCUUUCCAGAGAUUGUUUAAGUUCUCCUACACCAAGGAAAUGAAGCAUCUUUAUAAUUGGCAAGGCACCACAUGGACGGUCCUAAACAGAGAAGAGAAAGAGGACCAGCAGCCACUCUACCUGCCCCUGGAUCCUCCUCCAGCUUCUGACCUCUGAGCCAGGUGUGUUGACUUCUGUGGGAAAGAACGCUGGCUUCUCCUGCAGGACACUCACAUGAUGAGCAUCGUGAUGGAGCCGGGAAGCUCCAGACACCCUUGUACUGAUGUGAUCUCCCUUGUCCUCCCCCCCACCCCGCUCACUCACACCUCCCUGCCCAUUGCCUGCCUUGCUGAUGUCAAGCUCCAGCGUCAGGUGAAGAUGAUAACCUACAGAGACUACUUACCCAGCUCCCAAGGUUGCAUGAAGUCAAAGCCCAGGUUCUGCUUCUCUAACAGAACCCUGACUGAUACAGUACCUGGGAUAAACUUUCACACCCUACUGCUUGAGGGUGGGUGAUGGAUGUCGCGCCUAUGAUUUCUCUUAACACCCUGUGAUUAUAUUUUUCACUACACUUAUCAGACUGGAGCAAAAUUAUCUAUUUUCCUUCUGCCCCACAAAAUUGAAGUUUCAUGAAAGCAACUGUCAUAUCUUAUACUUGGUUGUAUACUAUGGAACUGACACCUCAUUAGGUGCCUGACACCUAACAUGCUCGAUAAAUAUUUGGCAAAUUAAUGAAGUGCAAGUAGAACAUAUUCCUCUUGUACUUCAAUAAAAUUUUUCACAUAUUUAUGAGUGCUCUUUCAUGGAAACAGUGAAAGGAUGGACUUUUUUGAUUUAUCCCUGAGCCCAUGUUAUUUUAUAUUACCUAGAAGUCCCAGGCUUACCAUUCAAAAUUAGGGCAAAUUUCCUUUGCCAGCUACUAAACUAACAGAAUACCUAGAGAACCAGGCCAAAUAAUGACUUCCUCAAGGAUUAUCAAGUCCUACUCCCAGAACCUCUAAAUCUAUUGCUUUAUAAGGCAAAAGAGCUGUGUUCCAGGAGCAUAGGUACCUACUCACCCUCAAACAAAGUCCUCGUGUUAAUAGUUGAUCGAUCAUAUUUGGUUGGCUACUGUAUGUCAGGUACUACAAGGUGUUUUGCUUGCUGGUUCUUCCCAACAGUCUAAGCUGUCAGCCAUUAUUCUUGCACCCAUUGGGCAGACGAGUAAUCUGAGCCACAGUUUAGGAAUAGGGCAGGGGGUGAUAUAUUUGGACUCAGGGACUCCAGAGCCAGGGUGCCUAAUCCCUCCACCACAGUAUAUGCUGUACAUGGAUCUGUUUUUUCCACUGAAUAUAAACCCAGUUUGCACAUUAGAAUCACUUGGGCUUUUAAAAAAAUACUAAUAAACAGACUUGACUCCAGAUCACUUAUAUCAGAAUCUUUGGGCAUGAGGCUCAAGGAUCCAGGUGUUUUAAGAAUACAGGUGGAGCUGGGCGUGGUGGUGCACACCUGUAAUCCCAGCACAGGGGAGGCUGA
rnacentral:lncRNA from 1 species